rnacentral:rRNA from 1 species
UACGUAGGGUGCGAGCGUUAAUCGGAAUUACUGGGCGUAAAGGGUGCGCAGGCGGUUUUGUAAGCCAGAUGUGAAAUCCCCGGGCUCAACCUGGGAACUGCAUCUGUGACUGCAUCGCUGGAGUGCGGCAGAGGGGGAUGGAAUUCCGCGUGUAGCAGUGAAAUGCGUAGAUAUGCGGAGGAACACCGAUGGCGAAGGCAAUCCCCUGGGCCUGCACUGACGCUCAUGCACGAAAGCGUGGGGAGCAAACAGG